GGGGGCGUAGUAUAACGGUAGUACAGGGGUCUCCAAAACCUCUAGCGUGGGUUCAACUCCUACCGCCCCUG
rfam:Parcubacteria bacterium GW2011_GWA2_40_23 TT91_C0011, whole genome shotgun sequence.